UACGUAGGGUGCGAGCGUUGUCCGGAAUUAUUGGGCGUAAAGGGCUCGUAGGCGGUCUGUUGCGUCGGGAGUGAAAACUCAGGGCUUAACCCCGAGCCUGCAGUGGAUACGGGCAGACUAGAGGUAGGUAGGGGAGAAUGGAAUUCCCGGUGUAGCGGUGAAAUGCGCAGAUAUCGGGAGGAACACCAGAGGCGAAGGCGGCGACCUGGACAGACACUGACACUCAAAUACGAAAGCGUGGGGAGCAAACAGG
rnacentral:rRNA from 1 species